GACGUAGGGGGCGAGCGUUAUCCGGAUUCACUGGGCAUAAAGGGCGCGUAGGCGGUUACGUAAGUCCGGCGUGAAAUAUCCCGGCUCAACUGGGAGGGUGCGUCGGAUACUGCGUUGACUUGAGGACGGUAGAGGCAGAUGGAACUAGCGGUGUAGCGGUGAAAUGCGCAGAUAUCGCUAGGAACGCCGGUGGCGAAGGCGAUCUGCUGGGCCGUUCCUGACGCUGAUGCGCGAAAGCUAGGGGAGCGAACCGG
rnacentral:rRNA from 1 species